rnacentral:rRNA from 1 species
GUCUACGGCCAUGACACCCUGAACAAGCCCGAUGUCUGAUCUCGGAAGCUAAGCAGGGUCAGGACUGGUUAGCACUUGGAUGGGAGACCAACUACGAAGACCAAGUGCUGUAGGCA